AUUCAGAGGACUUAUAACUAUUCUAGAAGAGCUCUCAGCUCCUGCCUCUGCUGCUCCCAUCACUGGGUCUCUCAGGUUAUAAGCCUCUGCCGUUCGACUUUGUGGACUCCUUUUCCCAAGCUCCUCUCCUCUGCUCUUCUCUCUGAUAUCACACAGAUGUGUGCAGAGAUGGGCAGGCUGGCGUGGGCUCCUGCGCAUGCACACAAGCUCCUCUGCAAAACCUCCCAACUGCAGCUCCACCUCCAUGGCGUCAGGGGGUGUUGAGUGUAGUCUGGAGGACUCUCCCCCUCUACUCCAGAAGACAAAGCAGCUGUCCCUAGGGCUGGGGCUCAAACACAAGCUUGUCUUUUUUCAAAUCACUUUAAAUCACUGUGCCUCUAUGUUAUGGGUUGAAUUGCAUCCCCUAAAAAGAUAUGUUUAAGUCUCAAUUCCUGGUCCCUGUGAAUGAGAACUGAUUUGAAAAUUAGGGACCUUGCAGAUGUAAUAAAGUUAAGACGAGGUCAUUAGGGCCGGGGGUGGUGGCUCACACCUGCAAUCUCAGCACUUUGGGAGGCCGAAGCAGGGAGACCACUCGAGGUCAGGAGUUCGAGACCAGCCUGGCCAACAUGGUGAA
rnacentral:lncRNA from 10 species